rnacentral:lncRNA from 1 species
UGGUGACUGAUCUCACCUGCCAGCUGGCUAAUAUCAUAAUUAACAAAGUUGCUACUACAUCUGCAAAGUUUAAUCAAAAAAUUACCACCAAUAUGAUGACAUUGCCACAAAGAUCACAAAGGACACAGAGUCGACUUUUGCUCAAGGUGGAACGGCAGAGCUGUGAAGGCAAGACGAGAAAUUGUGAACUUGCUCAAUGUAA